AGCUUUGCGCAGUGGCAGUAUCGUAGCCAAUGAGGUUUAUCCGAGGCGCGAUUAUUGCUAAUUGAAAACUUUUCCCAAGAACAUAUUAUGAGCAACUCUACGCCAACAAAUUUGACAAUCUGGAAGAAAUGGAUGCAUU
rnacentral:snRNA from 1 species